rnacentral:tRNA from 1 species
CCCCUGAUGGUCUAGUUGGAUAUGGCGCUCGGCUGUAACCCGAGAGGUCCCCGGAUAUCCCGGGUCGGGAGA